rnacentral:rRNA from 1 species
GACAGAGGUGCCGAGCGUUAGGCGGAAUCACUGGGCUUAAAGCGUGUGUAGGCGGGUCGUUAAGUGCCUUGUGAAAUCCCACGGCUCAACCGCGGAACUGCUGGGCAUACUGCCGAUCUUGAGCCAGCUAGGGGCAACCGGAACAAACGGUGGAGCGGUGAAAUGCGUAGAUAUCGUUUGGAACGCCAAUGGUGAAAACAGGUUGCUGGGGCUGUGCUGACGCUGAGACACGAAAGCCAGGGGAGCGAACGGG